UGGGGAAUAUUGCACAAUGGGCGCAAGCCUGAUGCAGCAACGCCGCGUGAGUGAUGAAGGCCUUCGGGUUGUAAAACUCUGUCCUAUGGGAAGAAACAAAUGACGGUACCAUGGGAGGAAGCCCCGGCUAACUACGUGCCAGCAGCCGCGGUAAUACGUAGGGGGCAAGCGUUAUCCGGAAUCACUGGGCGUAAAGGGUGCGUAGGUGGCUUAUCAAGCCAGAGGUGAAAGGCAGUGGCUCAACCAUUGUAAGCCUUUGGAACUGAUUAGCUUGAGUGCAGGAGAGGUAAGUGGAAUUCCUAGUGUAGAGGUGAAAUUCGUAGAUAUUAGGAGGAACACCAGUGGCGAAGGCGACUUACUGGACUGUAACUGACACUGAGGCACGAAAGCGUGGGUAGCGAACAGG
rnacentral:rRNA from 1 species